AAGUCGUAACAAGGUCUCCGUAGGUGAACCUGCGGAAGGAUCAUUGUCGAGUGCGUUCGUUAAUUCAGACACCUCCCAUCCUUGUGUAUUUUAGCUGAAAAGCAGCUUCGGCGGGCCGUCAUACCCCGAAUUUUUGGGGUGUUGACAUCGGCCUUGUGCGGAUUUGCGCCCGCUGAAGAACCAACUCUAUGACAACUUGAAGUCUGAUAAUUAAAACCUAAAUAAAUCAAAA
rnacentral:misc_RNA from 1 species